UUGUUACUAGUCCAAUGGUAGAGCAGGAUACUCCUAGUGUCAGGAUCUGAGUUCAAGUCUUGGGUAACAAU